ACAUGCCUACAACAUAGCGUUAAUUCAUCGGAUCCCAUUAUAACUCCACAAUUAAGCGUGCUCGGUCUAGAGUAGUACUGGGAUGGGUGACCGCUGGGGAACUACUAGUAUUUUACAUGCC
rnacentral:rRNA from 1 species